UCCUUGGUGGUCCAGUGUUAGGACUUGCCACUUUCACUGCCAUGGGCCUGGGUUCAAUCCCCAGUCAGGAAA